rnacentral:rRNA from 1 species
ACUCGAGUGGCGAACGGGUGAGUAACACGUGGGUGAUCUGCCCUGCACUUCGGGAUAAGCCUGGGAAACUGGGUCUAAUACCGGAUAGGAGCCAUCUUUAGUGUGGUGGUUGGAAAGUUUUUCGGUGUAGGAUGAGCUCGCGGCCUAUCAGCUUGUUGGUGGGGUAAUGGCCUACCAAGGCGGCGACGGGUAGCCGGCCUGAGAGGGUGUACGGCCACAUUGGGACUGAGAUACGGCCCAG